AAAGUGCGAUAACUCGUGUGAAUUGCGGAAUUCGUGAAUCAUCAAGUUUUUGAACGCAAAUGGCGCCGAUACUUGUAUUGGCACACCUAUUUGAGUGUUGGCUAAACUCUUCUCAAUCUCCGAGUUGAGAGAUGAUGAAUGUCUAUUACUUCUUGAAGGGAUAGUCAUUUUAAAUGGAUCAAUUGAAACCUUUCACUGUGACUUGUCAUGAGAAACAUAAAGGUAAAUCAAUUCCAAACUUGCUCCUUUGUAUCUUUCGAGAUAUAAUUGACUAUCAACCUCAAAUUAGGUGAGAGUACCCGCUGAAUUUAA
rnacentral:misc_RNA from 1 species